AAGUCGGUUGUGAAAGCCUUCCGCUCAACGGAAGAACGGCAUCCGAUACUGCAUGGCUUGAGUGUGGGAGGGGAGAGUGGAACUUCUGGUGGAGCGGUGAAAUGCGUAGAUAUCAGUAGGAACACCGGCGGCGAAGGCGACUCUCUGGUCCAUAACUGACGCCGAGUGUGCGAAAGCUAGGGGAGCAAACGGGAUUAGAUACCCCGGUAGUCCUAGCCGUAAACGAU
rnacentral:rRNA from 1 species